rnacentral:rRNA from 1 species
CCUACGGGUGGCAGCAGUGGGGAAUAUUGGACAAUGGGCGAAAGCCUGAUCCAGCCAUGCCGCGUGUGUGAAGAAGGUCUUCGGGUUGUAAAGCACUUUCAGUGGGGAAGAAAGCCUUGGGGCUAAUACCCUCGAGGAAGGACAUCACCCACAGAAGAAGCACCGGCUAACUCCGUGCCAGCAGCCGCGGUAAUACGGAGGGUGCGAGCGUUAAUCGGAAUUACUGGGCGUAAAGCGCGCGUAGGCGGUCUGGUAAGCCGGUUGUGAAAGCCCCGGGCUCAACCUGGGAACGGCAUCCGGAACUGUCAGGCUAGAGUGCAGGAGAGGAAGGUAGAAUUCGCGGUGUAGCGGUGAAAUGCGUAGAGAUCGGGAGGAAUACCAGUGGCGAAGGCGGCCUUCUGGACUGACACUGACGCUGAGGUGCGAAAGCGUGGGUAGCAAACAGGAUUAGAUACCCCUGUAGUC